rnacentral:rRNA from 2 species
AUGCAGUCGAUCCAGUUCCCGUUGAUUGACGUGGAUCGACUGAUUUCAACAUUGGAACGAGUGGCGAACUGGUGACUAACACGUGGAAAACCUGCCCAGAAGCAGGGGAUAACACUUGGAAACAGGUGCUAAUACCGUAUAACAACAAAAACCGCAUGGUUUUUGUUUGAAAGGUGGCUUCGGCUAUCACUUCUGGAUGGUUCCGCGGCGCAUUAGCUUGUUGGUGGGGUAACGGCUCACCAAGGCGAUGAUGCGUAGCCGACCUGAGAGGGUAAUCGGCCACAUUGGGACUGAGACACGGCCCAGACUCCUACGGGAGGCAGCAGUAGGGAAUCUUCCACAAUGGACGCAAGUCUGAUGGAGCAAUGCCGCGUGAGUGAAGAAGGGUUUCGGCUCGUAAAACUCUGUUGUUGAAGAAGAACGGGUGUCAGAGUAACUGUUGACAUCGUGACGGUAUUCAACCAGAAAGCCACGGCUAACUACGUGCCAGCAGCCGCGGUAAUACGUAGGUGGCAAGCGUUGUCCGGAUUUAUUGGGCGUAAAGCGAGCGCAGGCGGUUUCUUAAGUCUGAUGUGAAAGCCUUCGGCUUAACCGAAGAAGUGCAUCGGAAACUGGGGAACUUGAGUGCAGAAGAGGACAGUGGAACUCCAUGUGUAGCGGUGGAAUGCGUAGAUAUAUGGAAGAACACCAGUGGCGAAGGCGGCUGUCUAGUCUGCAACUGA